rnacentral:rRNA from 1 species
AGAGUUUGAUCCUGGCUCAGGAUGAACGCUGGCGGCGUGCUUAACACAUGCAAGUCGAGCGAAGCGGCUGAAUUGAUUCUUCGGAUGAUUUUCAGUUGACUGAGCGGCGGACGGGUGAGUAACGCGUGGGUGACCUGCCCCAUACCGGGGGAUAACAGCUGGAAACGGCUGCUAAUACCGCAUAAGCGCACAGAGCUGCAUGGCUCGGUGUGAAAAACUCCGGUGGUAUGGGAUGGGCCCGCGUCUGAUUAGGCAGUUGGCGGGGUAACGGCCCACCAAACCGACGAUCAGUAGCCGGCCUGAGAGGGCGACCGGCCACAUUGGGACUGAGACACGGCCCAAACUCCUACGGGAGGCAGCAGUGGGGAAUAUUGCACAAUGGGGGAAACCCUGAUGCAGCGACGCCGCGUGAGCGAAGAAGUAUUUCGGUAUGUAAAGCUCUAUCAGCAGGGAAGAUAAUGACGGUACCUGACUAAGAAGCCCCGGCUAACUACGUGCCAGCAGCCGCGGUAAUACGUAGGGGGCAAGCGUUAUCCGGAUUUACUGGGUGUAAAGGGAGCGUAGACGGCAAGGCAAGUCUGAUGUGAAAACCCAGGGCUUAACCCUGGGACUGCAUUGGAAACUGUCUGGCUCGAGUGCCGGAGAGGUAAGCGGAAUUCCUAGUGUAGCGGUGAAAUGCGUAGAUAUUAGGAAGAACAUCAGUGGCGAAGGCGGCUUACUGGGCUUUAACUGACGCUGAGGCUCGAAAGCGUGGGGAGCAAACAGGAUUAGAUACCCUGGUAGUCCACGCCGUAAACGAUGAUUACUAGGUGUGGGGGGACUGACCCCUUCCGUGCCGCAGCAAACGCAAUAAGUAAUCCACCUGGGGAGUACGACCGCAAGGUUGAAACUCAAAGGAAUUGACGGGGGCCCGCACAAGCAGUGGAGUAUGUGGAUUAAUUCGAAGCAACGCGAAGAACCUUACCAGGUCUUGACAUCGUAUGCAUAGCUCAGAGAUGAGUGAAAUCUCUUCGGAGACAUAUAGACAGGUGGUGCAUGGUUGUCGUCAGCUCGUGUCGUGAGAUGUUGGGUUAAGUCCCGCAACGAGCGCAACCCUUACUGUUAGUUGCUACGCAAGAGCACUCUAGCAGGACUGCCGUUGACAAAACGGAGGAAGGUGGGGAUGACGUCAAAUCAUCAUGCCCCUUAUGACCUGGGCCUCACACGUACUACAAUGGCUGUCAACAGAGGGAAGCAAAGCCGCGAGGUGGAGCGAACCCCUAAAAGCAGUCUUAGUUCGGAUUGUAGGCUGCAACCCGCCUACAUGAAGUCGGAAUUGCUAGUAAUCGCAGAUCAGCAUGCUGCGGUGAAUACGUUCCCGGGCCUUGUACACACCGCCCGUCACGCCAUGGGAGUCGGUAACACCCGAAGCCUGUAGUCUAACCGCAAGGAGGACGCAGUCGAAGGUGGGAUUGAUGACUGGGGUGAAGUCGUAACAAGGUA